AGUGAACGCUGGCGGUAGGCCUAACACAUGCAAGUCGAACGGCAGCACAGUAAGAGCUUGCUCUUACGGGUGGCGAGUGGCGGACGGGUGAGGAAUACAUCGGAAUCUACUUUUUCGUGGGGGAUAACGUAGGGAAACUUACGCUAAUACCGCAUACGACCUACGGGUGAAAGCAGGGGAUCUUCGGACCUUGCGCGAUUGAAUGAGCCGAUGUCGGAUUAGCUAGUUGGCGGGGUAAAGGCCCACCAAGGCGACGAUCCGUAGCUGGUCUGAGAGGAUGGUCAGCCACACUGGAACUGAGCCACGGUCCAGACUCCUAAGGGAGGCAGCAGUGGGGAAUAUUGGACAAUGGGCGCAAGCCUGAUCCAGCCAUACCGCGUGGGUGAAGAAGGCCUUCGGGUUGUAAAGCCCUUUUGUUGGGAAAGAAAAGCAGCAGGUUAAUACCCCGCUGUUCUGACGGUACCCAAAGAAUAAGCACCGGCUAACUUCGUG
rnacentral:rRNA from 1 species